rnacentral:ncRNA from 1 species
UAAAAAAUAUAUAUUUUAGGUGUUUCAUGGGAAACUUAAAUGGGAAAGCGGUGAAAUUCCGCUGCAGCCCCCGCUACUGUAAGUGAGGAUGAAAUCGACAACGGCCACUAAAAAUUCAUUUUGGGAAGGCGUCGAAAGUAAAUUGAUUCACAAGUCAGGAGACCUACCUAAAAUUUGCAGCAGCC